UGGGGGAUAACGCAUCGAAAGAUGUGCUAAUACCGCAUAAUCUCUGAGGAGAAAAGCACGGCAUCUUAGGACCUUGUGCUUUUGGAGCGGCCGAUGCCUGAUUAGCUGGUUGGUGGGGUAAAGGCCUACCAAGGCUUCGAUCAGUAGUUGGUCUGAGAGGACGACCAGCCACACUGGGACUGAGACACGGCCCAUACUCCUACGGGAGGCAGCAGUGGGGAAUUUUGGACAAUGGGGGCAACCCUGAUCCAGCCAUGCCGCGUGAGUGAAGAAGGCCUUCGGGUUGUAAAGCUCUUUCAGUUGGGAAGAAAAGGUUACGGUUAAUACCUGUGACUCAUGACGGUACCAACAGAAGAAGCACCGGCUAACUACGUGCCAGCAGCCGCGGUAAUACGUAGGGUGCGAGCGUUAAUCGGAAUUACUGGGCGUAAAGGGUGCGCAGGCGGUCUUGUAAGUCAAAUGUGAAAUCCCCGGGCUUAACCUGGGAACUGNNUUUGAUACUACAAGACUAGAGUGUAGCAGAGGGGGGUGGAAUUCCACGUGUAGCAGUGAAAUGCGUAGAGAUGUGGAAGAACACCGAUGGCGAAGGCAGCCCCCUGGGUUAACACUGACGCUCAGGCACGAAAGCGUGGGGAGCAAACAGGAUUAGAUACCCUGGUAGUCCACGCCCUAAACGAUGUCAACUAGUUGUCGGGUCUUUAUAGAUUUGGUAACGUAGCUAACGCGUGAAGUUGACCGCCUGGGGAGUACGGUCGCAAGAUUAAAACUCAAAGGAAUUGACGGGGACCCGCACAAGCGGUGGAUUAUGUGGAUUAAUUCGAUGCAACGCGAAAAACCUUACCUACCCUUGACAUGCCAAGAACUUUCCAGAGAUGGAUUGGUGCCCUUCCGGGAACUUGGACACAGGUGCUGCAUGGCUGUCGUCAGCUCGCGUCGUGAGAUGUUGGGUUAAGUCCCCCAACGAGCGCAACCCUUGUCAUUAAUUGCCAUCAUUUAGUUGGGCACUUUAAUGAGACUGCCGGUGACAAACCGGAAGAAGGUGGGGAUGACGUCAAGUUCUCAUGGCCCUUAUGGGUAGGGCUUCACACGUAAUACA
rnacentral:rRNA from 1 species